UGUGCUCUGUGGUGAACUGCACAGUCAAUGGGCCGGCUUUGAUGUCGAAACCUGCUCUCUGCCUCUGCUAGCUGGGUGGCCUCGGACAAACUGCUCCACCAGCCAAGGUGUUCUGAGCCCUAGUGAGCCAGCAGCAGGCACUCUCCUGGUAAUGGCAGCCAGAGAGAGAACACAGAUCUCUGAUCCAGUAUGAAAUAGGGCACGAAGCUUCGUCGUAAGCUGACACAAGGAGACCGUGUGGCUACAGGCCUGAGAGGGAAAGAAGGAUGAAGAAAGUCAAACGACGACAGUGAGAAGACACAGCCUGAGUAGGGGAAACUUGUUAAACCCAGGUGCAGUCACCUAAGGAAUUUCCACACUUAGGUUUUUAAAAGGUAUGUCUGUGUAACACAUACAUGCAGGGCUUAAGAAGGCCAGAAGACGAUGCUGUACUUCCUGGGACUGGAGUAACAGACGGUUGCCAGCCACCAGGAGGGUGUUGGGUAUCAAAUCUGACCCUGAGAGAGAGCAGCCAGCACUCUUAAGCACGGAACAUCUCCCAGCCACAGAGGUAACUUCCUGCCCAUCCUAAUGAGAACCAGGAAAACUUUAAAAGAACACAGUGUGGUAAUAUAAACUUUAAUUCCAGCAACUGAGAGGCAGAGGUGGGUGGAUCUCUGUGUGUUCCAGGACAGACAAGGCUACAAAGUGAGACCCGUUAAGAAUAUUUAAAAAUCUCCCUCUGACUUCACAAACUACAGUUGUAACUCUCCACAUCUGUGGGUGGGACCAGAGCAAGUUGUAAGGUGACAUAUGAGAGUCACCUGUGAAAGGGGCUGGUGUAGCACUUCAGCUCCUUGCCAUGUCUUUGCUGUGGGCACCAACAUCUAUUUAAAAGUCUCAAACUGAUAUUUUUGUGGCUCUACUGAAAGUCUCGAUUUUGAGGAACUGCUGCGAGUCACCAAGUCCUAAUACCCCAAUCUACAUUUCGAAUCUCCUGAAAAGUGAAUAUUUUGACAUAACUUGGAUUCAGAGGAAAAGAUUUACAGACCCUCAGUGUCCAUUUAGGCUCCUUAACUCUAGUCCUCUCCAGUUUUACAGAUCCCAAGUCAUUUAUUACACAGUUUGAGUGUUGUAGCUUUUCCUGGUUGUGGUUCAUCUCCCACAGGCUUCAUCCCUGUGUUAGGACAGAGCAUGGGGAUAUUGCAAGAUUACUCCUAGAAAGGCCAAAUCUGCCUCCUCCCUCCCGCCAUUGCUAGAAUUGAUCACCACAUACCUUAUUGAAUUGAUUUUCCAUCAUGACCAAUUUUAUUCUAUAGGUAGCAGUUCUUUGUGAGAGCCCUCUGUAGAUCAGAAAGGCAGGGUCCUCUGUCUCCCUUCUGGCGGCUCAUCAAAAUGGUUGACAAAAUUAGGGGUAGAGAGAUGCUCAGUGGCUAAGAGCACUUGCUGCUCUUGCAGAAGACCCAGGUUCUGUCUCCAACACCCACGUGCUGACUCACGUUUUGGGGAUCUGGUGCUAUUUUUUGGCCUCCCACGUUUUGGGGAUCUGGUGCUAUUUUUUGGCCUCCCAAGGAACCAGACAUACAUGUGAUACACAUACUUACA